AGUUGCACUGUCAGUCAGUCACAGACAGACAUGACAUUACACGUCGUAACUUUCAUGUUUCAUAAGUUACUUUAAAUAAAGUUUAACAGCGGAGAUCGGAUAAUAACAAGUAAACUGUUUUUAAGUAAUUUCAGCUGAAGUUUUCAUGUACCUGGCCAACUAGGUGCUCGUGACAAUAGAAAUGAAAUGGUCUAAUCCAAUAAUGCAUGCCCACAACCUUAUGUCUUCUGAAGCAAAAUAAUUUCUGUUGCAAGUUGUAAAUUUUCAAGAUAUUGAUGCCUUCUCUAGAUCCCAUUCUAUGUUACUAUCAGAUUUGCAGACAACAGCAAGAAAUGCUGCUACUCAAUAUUUUAUGGUGACCAACACUUGUUCUAAUUUAGGACAAUUUAAGGGUUAUCCCACUUCGCCACUGUUAUAGUUGUUUGGAAACCGACAAGAGAUUGUUGGAAUUGAAGACUGACAAUUUGUGUAGAUUUAGAUAAAUUUCAAGUGCAUACCUGGGUUCCCUUCUCUUCUGUAGCCCCGUUUUCCUAACUAACUAUUAACCAACGCCCGCCGGUGGUCACUCACCCGUUGUGAUAAACAGGAGGAGGGGAGGCCUUGGUUGAACGGUGACUUGGAAGGGCGCAUGAUUUUAUGAAAUCUUUUGGAGGGUCAUGAGUUUAACCAGGAAUAUUAACUAUGACUAAUUGCUCCCUAGAAAAACUGACCAUGUACUCUUCUUCUUUGUCCAGGUAAACUCCCUGGGCACAGGUAGGGUAGUGUUAACGCUUGGCAAGAUUUAUUGAUAUAAGUUAGGCAAACAUAGUAUUUUAAAGGUAUGAUUGAAGAUGUAGUAAUUUAAGUAAUUGAAAUGAAUUAUUGAUUUGAGGUUAAUAUAGAUUUUGUUACUAAAUUGUGUUGAUAUAUUGUUAAUGAUGAUUGCAUAUUUUAUUUAGGAUAUUUUUCAUUUUCAAUUUACAAUUAAUCUUAAAAUAUGCAUUAUUUCUUCUGCAACUACCCCCGUCCUCAAUUCAUACUUCAUACGAGCCUAUGUUAAAUCAGCUCGUGUCAAAUUUUUACUAUUCCGACUAACACUUAGGAGAACUUCUGAAAA